GCGCAGCAGGCGCGAAUCCUCCACAAUGCGGGAAACCGUGAUGGGGGGAAUCCGAGUGCCCGUUGGCUAAUGCUGGCGGGCUUUUCUCAAGCGUAAAAGGCUUGAGGAAUAAGGACUGGGUAAGACCGGUGCCAGCCGCCGCGGUAACACCGGCGGUCCAACUGGUGAUCAGCAUUACUGGGCCUAAAGCGUCCGUAGCCGGAUGGUUGGAUUCUGAGUGAAAUUUUCCCAGCUCAACUAGGGAAGGACGUGCUUGGUAACGAACCCCGCCCGACUCUUUCGGGUACC
rnacentral:rRNA from 1 species